GAGGAUCUAGCUCAGGGGCAGAGCACAUGCUUAGCAUGCACGAGGUCCUGGGUUCAGUCCCCAGUAUCUCUG
rnacentral:tRNA from 1 species